AGACGUCUACGAGUUUGAUCAUGGCUCAAGAACGAACGCUGGCGGCAGGCCUAACACAUGCAAGUCGAGCGCCCCACAAGGGGAGCGGCGGACGGGUGAGUAACGCGUGGGAACGUACCCUUUGCUACGGAAUAGCCUCGGGAAACUGGGAGUAAUACCGUAUGUGCCCUUCGGGGGAAAGAUUUAUCGGCAAAGGAUCGGCCCGCGUUGGAUUAGGUAGUUGGUGGGGUAAUGGCCUACCAAGCCGACGAUCCAUAGCUGGUUUGAGAGGAUGAUCAGCCACACUGGGACUGAGACACGGCCCAGACUCCUACGGGAGGCAGCAGGUGGGGAAUCUUAGACAAUGGGCGCAAGCCUGAUCUAGCCAUGCCGCGUGAGCGAUGAAGGCCGUUAGGGUUAGUAAAGCUCUUCAGUGGGGAAGAUAAUGACUGUACCCACAGAAGAAGCCCCGGCUAACUCCGUG
rnacentral:rRNA from 1 species